GAUCACUGGCAAAGGAGCCGUUUCAUACAGUUCUCCUUUGAGCUCUCUUUGUGCCUUUGUAAUAUCUGUCAGUCUCCAUGCACCUGUGUGUUUUAGCACUCACUGGUUUCUCUCACUCCUACAGGUUGUUUAUCUGUGUUGUCAGGUUAGUAGUCCGUGCAGGAGGCAGUAGAAGGGAGACAGGACUGGAGCUGGUAGACUUACAAUAACAAAACUCAGAGCAAAGGAAUUGUGUUUGGAGAGCUUUUUUUCCCCUCCAUCUUGAGACGCAACGAAUCCGAGGAACAAACUUGCCUUGUUGGAGCCGAGGACUGACAACAGGCAGGCUUGUGUGAGGAAAAGGGUGGCUGAAAGAGCUCUUGCAGUGGAUGGAGAGCACCAACCAAGUCCCACUGGAUGACCUGCGUAGACACAGACAUUGAGGACUGCGGCAGCGUAAAUCGCCUGAGCCAACAGGUCAGCUUUCCUCAGCUCCUCAGCUCUGGUCUUCACUCAGCUGAACUGCAUUCUGCUGAUUGGUCUCACCUGGUUUCCAGGUCACUGAUCCCCACCCCAGCAGAUAUACGUUAGUCAGUUUCCUUACCUCCUUCUUAGAUCCCUCUGUACCUGCUCUGCUAGUUUGCUUGUCCUCUUGUGCCUCACCUGUUUUCUGUUGUUUCAGUGUUUGCUGUUCUUGCUGGCGGCUCUCCAGUUCCUCUUGUGCUUCUUCCCCAUCUUGUAAGUUUCUCUAAAAAAUAAUCACCUCCCACAUUGGAGUGUUGUUUUCCUGUCUGCUCUUGGGUCCGACUUCACAAUGAGUCAUGACAGAGACUCAAGGUUGCUGCUCCUUUACUUUGACUAUCUGCAUGUUUUUGCAAUUGACAGUAUUUCCAUACAAAUGAAUUGGGCUGUUCUGUAAGUAUUAGAAAUAUGUAGUAGUCUUUCUUGGGCCAAGUGUCUGACAGUGUAUAGCAACAGGUGGUGGAGGGACCACACUGUGUUGCACUGUAAUGUAUUCUAUUUGAAAUUGAUGUCAUAAAACAAUGCAGAGUCCCACAUUAUUGUGCAGUGGAAGGAAAAUUAUGCACAGUUUUGAAGCUGGCUCCUUAAAAGUUAGCUGUACGAGGCUGACUCCAGCUUUUUUAAGUUAUGGGUAGACAGAUUCAAUGUAUCCAGCAUUUAGUGUUGUUGAAGUAUAAAUAAAACGGAAAAAGUUUGGUGUGCAUUUCUUUUUAGCCACUUUUUGUUCUAUACCCCUAAAUAAAUUUCAGUGCAACUGGUUGUCUUCAGAAGUCACCUAAUUAAUAAAAAGAUUUUGUCUAACUAAUCUCAAUAUAAAUCCAAAUGUUCUGUGAAGGCCUCAGAGGUUUGUUAGACAACAUAAGAAACAAACAGCAACAUGAACACCAAGGAACACAGUAGACAGGUCAGGGGUAAAGUUGUGGAUAAGCUUAAAGCAAGGUUAAGUUUUAAAAUGGCUUCCAAAGCUUUGACGUUUGGCACAUCUGUAUACCUACCAAACCAUGACUGACAUUCAAAGGUGACAGGGCAAGCAAGGAGAACAUUGAUCAGAGGAGCUGGCAAGAACCCCAUUGUUACUGUGGAGGAGCUGCAGAGAUCCAUAAUUGUUUGACAGAACACCUUUUAGUUGGGCACUGCACUAAUUAAGCCCUUUUCAGAGUGACAUGAAGAAAACUGGUGUUGGAAGAAAGCUAUAAGAAUUCCUGUUUGAAGAGUGUUAUGAGCCAUGUAAGGGACACAGCAAACAUGUGGAAGAAGGUGCAUUGAACUUUUUGGCAGCAUGUCGCAAAAACCUAAACCUAACACUUCACUCUGAACCAAUUAUACCUAUGUGGAAAAAUGGUGGUGGCAGCAAAAUGCUGUGGGGAUACAUUCCUCCAGCGACUGUGGUUCAGUAGGUAGAGUAGUUAUCUGAAAGUUGUGGAUUUGAUUCCAGCUUAACCUCAGGUUGACAGUGUGUCUACCAGUGUAUGAAUAUGUGUGUUUGUGAGUGAGAUUGGGUGAAUGUUGCUCUAGUGUAAAGCAGCAUGACUGGACAAGCACUGUAUAAGUUUAGUUCACUUACCAUUCACCAUUGAGCUGGUACAGGGAAAAUGGUCAGAGUUAAUGGAAAACUAAAUUGAGCUAAAUAUAGGCCAGUGCUUGAAGAAACCCUGUUAGACGCAGGUGAGGUUGAUCUACAAUUGAUGGGUUUAGAUCAACACAUAUUCAUGUGACAAUAAUCUCGGCAAAAUCCAGAAAUAAGGCCCAUCAUAGUCUACUGUAAGAAAAUUGAUAUUCAGAUGGUCCCCGUUCAAUCUGACUGCACCUGAGCUGUUUUAGAAACAAGUGACAGAAAAUAUGUCUCUAGAUGUACAAAGCAGAUAGAGGAAAAACUCCAAAACCCCUCUAAUUGGAGUGAAAUGUGGUUCCACAAAGUGACUCAGAUUACUGAACACAAAUGCCAGACUAUUUAUUGCUUGUUAAAAAGUUUUAAAAUCAUGUACAGUUGGCCUCCGCUUUUUAAUUAUUUGCUUCUUUGUGUUGAUCUGUCACAUAAAUGUAUUUCAUUGGAAUAUUUGGUUGUAAUGUGAAAUAAUGCAAAAAUGAGAAUGCUUUUGAAAAACACUAGAAAUGUAAUAAAGGGUUUCUUCUACCCAAAGAUUUGAGAUAUUGUUUGACUUGCAAAUCAUGAAUAAGACUGGAGUAACUUUGCAAAGAUUAGCGUGAUGCUGAAGAACCCCAGAACUUCAGGGAGCAGAUGGAGCUUUUCCCAAACACAAGGCAUCCACCCAACUCAGGUUCCUUCCAGCUGCUCGUUUGCUCUUUGAAAUCGAGCUCUCGUGAUCUCGGUUCUCCAUCAGCAGCUGCUCUCUGUUUAAACAAAGUAUUGAUUCAAGCUGUUGGUUUUUCACACUCUUGUUUGUGGAGGUUGUUGGUGAUGAUCUACGAUGUGUUUAUGCCAUGUUUGUGGUGUCAAAGUUCAGGUUGGUGCUAAAGUUAAUGCGUUUAACUGCUAUCAGGUUUUUUCCAUUUGGACAGUGUGUACUCUCUUAACUGUAUCAUGAAAUGCACAAUGGACUAAUAUUUUCUGAAUUAUAAUAACAAUCAUAAAUGAAAGAAAAGUAUAAUGCCUUAAAUAUAAUGCAUUUUAUAGUAAUUUUAGUCUUACUCUAAUUUUGGAAAAAAUUGUGGGUUAAACAAUAUCAUCUGAAAAUUAAUUUGAACUUUUUCUAGGUCCUCUUGUUAAAAUAGUGUUUACUUCAGCGCAGUUGUGUCCAAACGUUUUGCCACUUAGGUCAAAAUUGUCAGGUUCAAAUGACUAAUUUGCAUUUUUUUCAUUUAUUUUUCCGUUUUCUUGGUCUAUAAAAUGUUACAAAGAGGUCACUCUUUCAGUUUUAAUGAAUGGAUUCAUCCAAGUCUGCUUUUGAAUAAGAAAGUGGAUGUGUGUGGUCAUUUUUUUCUAUGAAAUUAAAAUGGAAGCAAAAAUGUUGUCGAUAAAAGACAAAUAGUUUUUGUACCAAACAUUUUCAUUUUAAGAAUAUUUUAAUAUGACUAUCUUUUUUGGAAGGCCUUCACCCUGAAAAUGUGUAAAUUUUUUCAUCAACUGCCUGUGCUGACAGGCCAAGUUUGUACCACUGAUGAAUUGUGGUCAUGGUCCACACACAAUAAUGUCCAUGGCCCCCAGGCCACACUGGACAGUCUUGCAAUAGCAUAAUGACAUAUUUGCUCAGUUACUUCUCUUUGUAACUCCUUUAAACUACUGAUAUGCACCACUAAGCAUUCUGUGUUAGAAAGUGACAACUUAUAUAAAAAAAACAGGCAAUUUACAGCUAUUAUACAAAGACAAAAUAACACAGACGUCUAAUGGCUUUGUAGUUUUAUUACUAAAACUGUUCGAGAACAAAGGCAGAAACUUUCAUAUUUAUGGACCUGUGCACACAGAUUCCCUUUCAUAAAUGUAUGUCAUUUUGACACUGCAUGAAUGAACUCAACCCUGUCUCAAAUUAUGAGUGGGUGGCGACACUGCUAAUUAAACCUGAGCCUAUACAGACAUUGUUUGCACCACAUUUUAAUCCUCAAAUGAGAGACAGUAUGAAAGGAUGACAAGGAUGAAACUCAACAGAAAACUGAGGAAUUUGUACAAGAAACAGAGGAAAUUUAAUGUUUAUUAUCCAGACAUCUCAUUUCUGGAGUCACAACAAAAAUAGCAGCUCUACUUGAACAAAGACCCUUUAAGCUUAAUCGCAAACCAGAUGAAUAAACACACAGCGGGGAAUGUAAAGCAAGGAAUCAAGGGAACUCACACCCGAUCUGAAAGAGAAAACAAUUCAAGGAUGGACAAAUUUAUCACACAGUAGUUGUUGAUUAUUAAAAAGAUCAAAGAUGUGCAGAGUUUUCUAUUAAGUGUCAUCUGGUAUGGCAGACAUGACAAAACUCCCAAAUUCUAGAUAAAAUCGGCUCAUCUCAUGAACCACACUGGAAUGAUAGGGGGCACAAAGACUAGAAGUCAAAUAAGAUGAGAAAUACAACUAGAAGAGAAGAAAAUGAAUGAUCAGCAACCCCACACGAAUUCCGAAAUGAAAACAAACAGGAUUUCCAAAGACUCAAGAAAGAAAUUAAAGAAGAUAUGAAAGCUGAGCUGAAAGAAAUAAAAGGGAAAUCUACCAGAACAUAUACUUAGCGCUACCACUUCAGUGGUAUAGUCGAGAUCAAAUGUUGCAUCUCAUCUCCAGAGAGGGGCCCUCUUUGAAGAGAUCCACCCCUCAUCCUGCCAACGGGGUCUUGAGGUGUGGGAGACUUACCCCAGAUUGGAAGUUAGAUUUCUGUUUUAUAUUUCUUUGUAUUUUGCAAAAAAUCUAUAAAACUUAAAGUUAAAAAAAAUAAAUAAAUAAAAUCACCCAUAGGCCUACAUUAUUUUUCCUCCUAAUUUAUCAUGGGUCUUCAGGGAAAGGCAGCACAGCACAUGACCACAAUGCAUUGCUGAAGUAGCACCCAGAAAUCCUCAUCAUACUAAACAAUUUCAUGUCCACUGUGACAUUCGUCCCUUUUCUGCACAUCAUGGUCAAAUGACCCCAACAACAUGUGUAUUUACAUUCUCUAAACACUGGCAUACAAAUGUUUGCCACACUUUCUCACUUUAUAAAUGCUGUUUUUAUGUGUGGUUUCUGUGGUUUUUGUGGUUACACAUCGUUUAUGUUGCCUGUUUCUAAUCCCCAACAUGGGAUCGGUUCAAGUGUUGUGAAUGUGUUUGUGACAUUUUUAUGUUGCAGUAAACUAGGUUCAUACAUUAUGUACGGCCCUUUAGAUUCAAUUUUGGUUGUAGAUAUUUAUGUUGCUCUCAAACACAACAUCAAAGUUAGCUGAAUUGAUUCUGGAACUAAAAAAACUUUUGUCACAUUAGUUAGAUAAUAUAAAUAAAGUUGCGAUAAUAUUUUUGCCUUUAUGUAAUGUGUCAGUGUUGUUUUAAAGUAGUUUACCAGUCACAAAAAAUCAUUGUAUGCUUUGAAGCAUCUGUUCCCAGCUGUGCUAAUAGACUAAAACUGCAAUUUUAUUAGGUCAAAAGUUUAAAAGUGGUUAUCAGUAAUUUCAGUUGUUUUCACAAAAUGAAAGUCAUGAAAGAUGCCUAAGAUCACCUAAAACAAAACAUUUAGGUGACAUGAUAAAGAUGUAAAUCCAUAAAAUUACUAAAACCACAGGCUUAUAUAAUUUUUGUAGUUUAUUAACAAAUAUUAUGCAGAUUUUCUUUUCAAGUUUGUAUUAUUAUGGUUGAGGUGGGAAAUCAAUGUCCAGAGAAGUUUGUUGAUUGGUGAUAGCCACCAUUUUUAAAUAUCUGAAAUUAGAAAAAUAUCAAAGUAUAAAACAACGGUAAUUCAUCAGAACCUUAGUAUGGUUAAACCUGCUCACUGAUUUUCUUUUUACAUCUUGAUAUUUAUUAGUAAGAAAAAAAAACAGAUAUGCAUGAUUGAUAAUUAUGUAUUCGUGUUAUUAAAGAAUACAAACCUGUGUUAAUGUGGCAUUAAAAUUAGAAUA